CAAAAUGUAGCCCAAUUAAAGCACCUCGCUUACACCGAGUAGACAUCUGUUCAAUUCAGAUCAUUUUGA
rnacentral:tRNA from 1 species